GACGAACGCUGGCGGCGUGCUUAACACAUGCAAGUCGAGCGGUAAGGCCCUUUCGGGGGUACACGAGCGGCGAACGGGUGAGUAACACGUGGGUGACCUGCCCUCAGCUCUGGGAUAAGCCUGGGAAACUGGGUCUAAUACUGGAUAUGACUCCACGGUGCAUGUCGUGGGGUGGAAAGCCUUGUGCGGCUGAGGAUGGGCCCGCGGCCUAUCAGCUUGUUGGUGGGGUGANGGCCUACCAAGGCGACGACGGGUAGCCGGCCUGAGAGGGCGACCGGCCACACUGGGACUGAGACACGGCCCAGACUCCUACGGGAGGCAGCAGUGGGGAAUCUUGCGCAAUGGGCGAAAGCCUGACGCAGCGACGCCGCGUGA
rnacentral:rRNA from 1 species